GUUGAACGCUGGCGGCGUGCCUAAUACAUGCAAGUCGAGCGAAGCGGGGACGGGUGAGUAACACGUGGAUAACCUCCUAUAAGACUGGGAUAAUUUCGGGAAACCGGAGUUAAACCGGAUACUAAUAGAUGGAUCUGCGCUGCAUUAGCUAGUUGGUAGGGUAACGGCUUACCAAGGCAACGAUGCAUAGCCGACCUGAGAGGAUGAUCGGCCACACUGGAACUGAGACACGGUCCAGACUCCUACGGGAGGCAGCAGUAGGGAAUCUUCCACAAUGGGCGAAAGCCUGACGGAGCAACGCCGCGUGAGUGAUGAAGGUCUUCGGAUCGUAAAACUCUGUUAUUAGGGAAGCGGUACCUAAUCAGAAAGCCACGGCUAACUACGUGCCAGCAGCCGCGGUAAUUC
rnacentral:rRNA from 1 species